CCCUGCACUACUUCCUGCACCCCAACUCUCCUAUAGCCUGCACCCCACACACUAACCUGCACCCCAAUCCCCAGCCACUUACCCCUUCCUGCACACCGACUCUCUCCCAAGGUCUGCAUUCCAUGCCCCUUCCUGCAUCCUGACCCCUGUCCUAGCUCUGGGCCUCUUCCUGAACCUAUGCUCCCUUCCAGAACCUGCACCCCAUCCACAGACCUGAGCCCCUUCUUAGAGCCUGAACCCCAGCCACCCACCUCCUCCUGCACCCAAACUCUUGCUCACAGCCUGUGCCCCGCACCCUCUCUGCACCUCAGCCAUCUGCACCAACCCCAAGCCUUCCCUAAAUCUGCACUCCAAAUGUAUCCCGGAAAAACUCCACCGCGUCCAGGAAACGCAUCUGCUCUUCCACUUUUUUGUGUGGAAGAGCAGACGCACUCUUUCAGAAGCCGAAGAAAGGAUCUUCCGAAAGAGGAGGCUUUUCCAAAAUUUGGCCCAGUGUAAAUUUCAGAAAAGCCUCUUCCAGAAAAACUGUUGGAAAAAGGUACACAAUUUGCUUACCUUUUUCCGAUAGAUCCAUGUAGUGUAGACAUAGCCUCAGAGAGAGAUGAGGCAGCAGUGUUUAGGUUUGCAAUUUGACAGUUGGUGUAGUAAAGUCACAAAUGUAGUAGGUCAGGAUUUACUGUAGUGGUGUUCUGACAGGUCUCUGGCUCCGUUGAUAAUAACCAGAAGGCGUGUGUGCUCAAUCACGUGAACCGCAUUGACUCGCACAAUUAGUCAACCCAGCAGACUCCAAGAGAACUCUUAAAGACCACAAAUCAAAUAAGGAUGGAAGGUGCCUGACCAGCUCUAUUAUUCUAGGGUGGGAGUUAGAUCUGCAAGUGCCUUGACUGUGAAAACUACUUGUUUGAUGCAAUGAAAAAAGAGAGCCAGCAGAGGGCCGUAAGAGAGCUGAAAUCUGGCAAAAGCAACAAGCUAUGAAAAUGACCUUGGUAGCAGUGUUUUGGGUGGAUGUUGGACUUGGCAACUUUUGGCAAAAGGACAUUGUUCAAUGUACUUUGAGGUGCUUCAUGUUGAUCAGAAGCUGUUCUUUCAUUUGGAGAUGGAAAAAGGUGUAAGAAUGAAUUAUUUGCAUGUGGUGCACUGUAAAGACCAAUAAACAGUUUAUGCUGAUCCCUACACCUUAGUCUCUACCAAAAACUUUCCUUGCAAAAUGGCAGCAUAGAAUGAGAUUGCGAUAGUUACAUCAUGUGACUGCCAGCUGGCUGGUUUUUUUUUUUCACAGCUUCUUACAACAAAUCAGAAGCAUCAUUUUUAAAAAAUCUGUUUUUUUUCUCUUUGCAGUUGUCAAACCAUUUUGCAGAUGAAAUCUUUGAUGUAUAGAAAAGAAGGGAUUCAUCUAUUUACACAUGAUUCCAGAGAAAAUUUCCUUUCUGUUUGAGGUUAAACUUUCUAUCCCAAAGGUGUAUGCAUUUGUCAUCAUCAUGGCUUGGCUUCGCGAACGAAGAUCUAGGAAGGAAAUCCACGUCUUCUACAGGCACGCUGGUGGCUGACGAGGCCUAUGCGGGACAGGCAGGGCCUGCCACAACGACUGCAAAUAUAGGUCUGAUCCGGGAUAGGUGCUGAGGGGUCAUGCAUUUGUAGAGAGGAGGGAUAUAACUGAAAUUGCUUUGCAUUUCUUUUCCAUUUAAAAAAAAAUGCUUUCUCAUAUCCAAGGACAGAAGCAACACUGCUUAGCAAAUGGAAGUAGGUACAUUUAACUGGAAAUAUUUUAUUCUGAUUCUGAGAACUAUACUGAAUAUAGUGUGUGUACUGUUCAGAUUGGGUACUGUUUACAAAGGAGGGAAUGUGGGUGAAGUGCUUCCCCACAAUUUUACAGUAAUUUGAUUCAAUCUGCUCCAUUUGGAAGACAACAAAUGUGCUCUUUAGAGACUUAGGAGGUCCCAAAAUAGUCAGGGUUAGCAAGAAUGAUACAGCAGUUUAUACCGGGUAAGGAAAGAUAGGGCAUGAUUGUUUUAGAGGCAGGGAACUCCCCCUAAAUUAGCUUGAUGGUGGAAUUUUUAAUGCACUCAGCUAAAGCACUUUAGAUUUUUAAAACUAGAAUAGGGGAUAUGUUUUCUCCCAAUCCCUCAAGUGUUUUAAGAAAAUGGAUGUGAAGUUGCCUUGAAUGCUUCCUGUGCCUGCUAUUUUAUUUUGUAGUGUGAGUUCAUUUUUAUUAACUUAGUCUGUGCAGUAUUAGAACAUACAGAAGAUCUUCAAAUUAUCUUGUAUCAGUUGCCAGCUCAUCAUACAUGAAAUGUUAUCAAAGAUGGAUCUUUCUAAUUAUUUCUGUGGUGUUCAUUGUCAUUUAAAAUGAAACAGUGAAAGAUUAGCUUUCUUUUUCCAGAGUAAUAGAUUGUAAGGUCUUUGGGGGCAGAGACUGUCUUUUUGUUCUCUCUCUGUACAGCACCAACCACAAUGGAGUCUUGCUACAUCACUGUAGCUCCUAUG